rnacentral:rRNA from 1 species
AUUGAACGCUGGCGGCAGGCCUAACACAUGCAAGUCGAGCGAGCGGCGGCCGGGUGAGAAUUGUAUGGGGACUGCACGAUCGAGGGGGAUAACUACAGGAGACACUGGCUAUUACAGCAUACACUCUGCUAACCCAUAUGGGAUUUGCUAGUAGUUGGGGUAAUGGCGCACAUAGGCGACGAUCUCUAGCUGGUCUGGGAGGAUGAUCAGCCACAUUGUGACUGCGACACGGCCCAGACUCCUACGGAGGCAGCAGUGGGGAAUAUUGCACAAUGGGCGCAAGCCUGAUGCAGCCAGGCCGCGUGUAUGAAGAAGGCCCUAGGGUUGUAAAGUACUUUCAGUGGGGAGGCGUUACCGACAGAAGAAGCACCGGCUAACUCCGUGCCAGCAGCCGCGGUAAUAC